ensembl:lncRNA
UCUCUCUCUCUGUGUCUCUCUCUGUCUCUCUCAUGGUUUUUGUCAGGUAUGAAUCGUCUCUCCUGCCUCCUCUUUACGGCGGAUGAAGCUUUUCGCUGAGGUCUUUCACAAACGCGUUGGAAACGUAAGCUCUCUUUAUUUUCCGUAAAUAAAAGCAGUGUGUGGUGUUUUUCAGGCUUUCUGUUUCAGCAGGUCUAGUUCCUCUCCAAACAAAACGACAAAACGAACCGAAAGCCUCGUGUUCUCCGUCGCGGCUUCGCAGGACCGAGCGCGCGAGAUUUCAGAACGUUUCAGUUGUUAAAAGCGGAGACUUUUAUUCUUUUUUUUUCCCCCCGCAGGAGGACUCUCUUCCUCUCUUUCCUUUCAUAUGCAAAAACAAACCAGUGUUAAGGGCUUUCGGUGUUCCAUCCACAGUCGUCUCCAGCUCCAUCAGAAGUUAAAAUCUAAACGGAACUCUGGUUUCAGUUGUGUUGCCUUCUACACCGGGUCGGUGAGAUCGCCCCGGUCGUUCGGCUGCUGUCCUCUACGCCACGGUGACGUUUCAUCUCCAGCAAAAAACAAACACACCUUUCGUUUCAUCGGAUUUUGUCCGUCUCGUGUCGGGUUCUCCGUUUUUACUUUUCGAAACGCUUUACGAACGUGUCCGUGAAGGUCUCGCGCACGGCCGAGCGAUCCGGCGGCCAUUUUGAGAUCCGCACUCGAGUACAGCACAAACUGGAUUUUAUUCAUUUUUCUCUUCUGCUGCAUUACAGAGUACAGAGUUGUUUUUUGUUUUUUUGCGUACAUGAAUGAAGGUAUUUAUGCACAUCUGCAAUACAUUUGUUGUGUGUACGUUACAGAAGACCUGUUGAAUGAACCGAGAGAGAAAACAGACAAUAUAAAAUGGUGCUACUGGACCUCAUUUUUUCUGGGGGGGUUAAAGGUCACAGUUCAAAUGUGACUGGUCAUGCGGACUCAUCAGUCAUAUCAGACUUAUUCUUAUCCUCGAUAUAUGCAGAUCUGUUUUACAGGUUUGAAAGGACAAGGAGUCACGAGUCUAACCCCAUCCUUCCCUCAUGGCCUCGGGGGGAGUACACGGUCAUUCCCGUCUCUCAUCCGUCACAUCUGUCGUGCCGUAGACACGUGGCCACGGCAGCAGUCAACACACACACACGCA